rnacentral:rRNA from 1 species
GACGAACGCUGGCGGCGUGCUUAACACAUGCAAGUCGAACGGAAAGGCCCUGCUUUUGUGGGGUGCCCGAGUGGCGAACGGGUGAGUAACACGUGAGUAACCUGCCCUUGACUUUGGGAUAACUUCAGGAAACUGGGGCUAAUACCGGAUAGGAGCUCCUGCUGCAUGGUGGGGGUUGGAAAGUUUCGGCGGUUGGGGAUGGACUCGCGGCUUAUCAGCUUGUUGGUGGGGUAGUGGCUUACCAAGGCUUUGACGGGUAGCCGGCCUGAGAGGGUGACCGGCCACAUUGGGACUGAGAUACGGCCCAGACUCCUACGGGAGGCAGCAGUGGGGAAUAUUGCACAAUGGGCGGAAGCCUGAUGCAGCAACGCCGCGUGCGGGAUGACGGCCUUCGGGUUGUAAACCGCUUUCGCCUGUGACGAAGCGUGAGUGACGGUAAUGAGUAAAGAAGCACCGGCUAACUACGUG